UACGUAGGCAGCAAGCGUUGUUCGGAGUUACUGGGCGUAAAGGGUGCGUAGGCGGUGCGGUAAGUCUGUUGUGAAAUCUCCGGGCUCAACUCGGAGUCUGCAUCAGAAACUGCCGUGCUGGAGUGUGGGAGAGGUGAGUGGAAUUCCCGGUGUAGCGGUGAAAUGCGUAGAGAUCGGGAGGAACACCUGCGGCGAAAGCGGCUCACUGGACCAUAACUGACGCUGAUGCACGAAAGCUAGGGGAGCAAACAGG
rnacentral:rRNA from 1 species